AUCACAGCCUGCCUGGUCAGGAACAGAAAUCACCAUGCCAAGCUUCCUCCCCUCCCCUCUGUGAUGAGGACUUCUCAGCUCCAGGGUCCUGGGACUCACAUCUGACCUUCCACAAGCCACUCAUCUCACAGCACCUCCCCUCCCUUCAAGGAAUUCCACAAUGAUUGUGGUUUUCUGGAUGAUUCUCAUUGCAGGGACGAUGUGGAAGGGGUAUAAGUAUCCCCCGGGAGGGACCCAGCUGGAAGCGGGCAAGGAAGAUCCGGGUGAACCAAUGCAACUCUAAGCUAAACCUGGCCAGCUGUACAGUUCCCGUUGUUGGUUUCGCAUAAAGCAAUUGCAAGUGAUUUUGUCAUAUUUUAUGUAAAAGUUACCGUACUUUUUGAGAUGAAUGAGGACUUGGUAUUCUGUUAGCCCGAACCUGGUGAUGGUGGUGGUGGGGAGGGUGGGGAAAGUUCCUACAUUGAUUCUCUCCCCUCAGGAAGCAAAAUUAUAGGUUUCCGAACCUCUGUCUACUCAACCCCCAUGGAAGCAUCUGGUAGAGGGUAUUAUGGGACAGGAAUCAUGAUCUCGUUUUCUUCUUCUGUCUUAUCCCCACUUUAGGUUAUAUCAAAUAAAUAAAUCUGUUGUUGAAUCAUGGUAAUUUCUGCCCAUAUUUUUUUAUGAACCUGGCAUGUGCUUCCCAGGAGUAUUCGAGAUGCCAUUUAAACCCAUGGCAACCAUGCUUUUUCUGUGGUGGGUGGUGGGGUGGUGGUGGUGGAAAUGUUCAAUAAUCCUUGACAUGCAGAGGUUGAGGCAUAAUCAAGGUGUGGAGGAAAACAAAGGACCCAGGACCAUUUUCAACUUGCUGGCUGGAACUGUUUGCAUAAGUCAGUGGUAUCUCUGACAGCCACAGAAAUGGCAAUUAAAAAAACAACCCUUACCUGCUGUAUUAGAAUCGACUAAAUAUUGGUUCCUGAGUGAGCAGUAAGGGGUUUGGCAAUUGGGGUUAAGUGACUUGCCCAGGGUCACCUCGCUAGGAAAUGUCUGAGGCUAGAUCUGAAUCUAGGACCUUCCAUCUCUAGACCUGGCAAUCUAUCCACUGAGUCACCUAGCUGCCCCAGCAAUUUUUUAAAGGUGCCCUCAGGACCACCCCAUACAUCUUAGGAACAAGUAAGGUGUUUUGGAGGCACCACCCACUGUUGCUCAAUUGUGUCUGAUCUGUAUCUCGAGUUAGAACUGAGGAGAGAAACUCCUUUAACUAGGAAUACAGUCUUUAUGACAAGGAGUCAGACUGGAUACUAGUGUAGACUGAUAUGGAGUAGGCCAAGGGAAACCACAGAUUGGGCCAGUAUCAUUUGGCUUUUUCUAAAAAAGUAUCCCACAUAAAAAAACAGAAUAGUCCUUCUAAGGUUUACAAAAUUAAACUCAUUUGAUUCUCACAACCAUCUUAAAUGAGGUAAUCAGGUAGAUAUUACUUAUCCCCAUUUUACAAAUAAAGGAAUUAACACAAAGGUUGUGAUUUGCCCAGGAUUAAGGCAAAGAUGCACACUUAGGUCAGCCUGACUUGACUUGUGUCCUAGGCGCUAUCCACUGUACCACUCAGCUGUCAUCAGUACAGAGGUAGUUUGUGGACUACAAACCCUAUACAUUAAUGCGAGUUAGACUCCACUAUGAGUUCCUCAGUUGCAGAGGCACGUUGUAUUUUGACCAAACACCAUUGCUCUAAGAAGAGACUUGGAAAAUUUUGUCUGUACUGAAAUAUAUUAAAACGUGACCAAUACUUAAGCUUAACAUAUCUACAAAUAACCCCAUUGCACCCAAAGAACAUCACUCCCCAACUCCCCAUUCCCACUUUUUAACAGAAGAAGUAGAGGGGGAGGUAUUAGAACUGAAAAUUAUGGAUUAUAUACAGUACGUGGCAAAAUUCCAAGCAUUCAAGGAAUGUUUCCUUCAGCUCUCUGGGCAGCUUUCUCUACAGAAGGAGGAUGGUUGGACUAGGUGAUCUCUGAGAUCUGUUUCCAAGCUCAUAUGUUGACUCUAGAAUUCACCUUUUAAAAGGCUUCAUGCAACUCAUGAGUGUACAUAUACCUAAACCUCACAUUCCAAAGCUUCUCAAGGUGCAGGAGCUUUUGCCCAGUUUGACAGGUCGCAGACUUGACUUUAAAAUGGAUUUUCUGGUGAGCAGCAGACAAGACUUAGAAAGAAAUAAAGUCAAGAUGAAUACAAACCCCAAGGGCCUCCUCACAGCCACAUGAGAUGGUAGCUGAAGCACCCUAUUGUAAUGCUGGUGUUGAGGGGGGCAAGACUGAAAUCUGCCUCACAAGCUUACCAUGUUACAAUGAGAGCUUUGCCCAUUCAUAUAUACAAGGAAGAAUAGUAACUUGACUCAAUCGAACCAAAUCCAAGAACUGAUGGACUUCUUUUCUACUGUAUAUGUAAUAACUGCACAGAAAACACUAAGUAAUAAAAGUUCACAAUCUAGACAAAAUGAAAA